rnacentral:lncRNA from 1 species
AAGGUUGAGAAGUGGAGAGAGAAAGGUGACGGUGGAGUAAAGCUAGCCAUUGUUCGUUGAAAGAUAGAGCCAGCCGUGAGUGACGGUUGGUUCUUCUGUGGAGGAGAAGACGAGAAUAACCAUAGUAUAUGCCCUUCCUCUUGGAUAAGGUAUGCAUUUCUUUUUUUAAUUUUCUUCUAAUUUUUCCCUUUUUCAUUAUUCAUUCCAAUAAUAAUUCUCUCUCUGGGCUUCUUCUUCAGCUUCUUUUGGGUCGCCUCUCUCUUUCUUCCUGCACUCCCCAAUUUUCUUCUUUCACUCCCUCAUUCAAGGUCAGUUUACUGUAUUUCCUAAUUCUUUUCCAUUUUAUGCUUUUCUCUCAAAUUUGUUUCUGAAACAAUCAAGACACUAAAAUCAUAUUUUGAAUAUUUUUUAAUUUAAAGUAUUAUUUUUGUCAUUUUUUUAAUAUUUUCCUUCUGGUCACAUGAUUGGUGAACUGAAAGCUUUGCCGAAAAGAGAUGGUGGAUAAGGGAUGAACUAAUCAUUGCGUGAAUUUCAGAACAUUACCUUCCUCUUUUGCUUUUCACCUAUUUUUUUCUCAGAUAAAAAGGUGGAAAGUUAAUCAACCUUAGCGGAAUCUUAUCAUUAAUAAUAAAUUGAUUUUUUUUAUUGAAAAUUAUUAAAAAUUGCAUUGCGAUGAAAUUGUAUGAAGGACAUUCACUUAUUCAAUAAUGAUAAUAAUAAUUUAAUUCCUCGUAUGAAAUUGUACGAAGAACAUUCUCUUUAAAUUGUUGUCUUGAAAACAUUUAUUAUGUUUAGCCUAAAAGAAUCUGAAUAAAUAAAUAAAUUUCACUUCUAAAAUCAGAAUCUACUUUAAUUCCUCGUAUCAUUCAAAGAAACUCCAGUUUGAACUCUGAAAUUGACAUAUCAACUACUCUAAUCCCUAAUGCUAGUCAAAUGAUUAAUUGACUGCUACCAGUUAAUUCAACCGGUGUUAAAAGAUCCAAUUAGGUAAUGUUCAGAAAAUUCAAGGUUUAACUGACUGUUGUAUGAAAGAUGAAUUUGAUGUUAAGGUGAUUUUCAGUGCUUUAAUUUACUCUUCGUAGAUUUCUUUAUGUCCAUUCUUUUUGCAAUCUUUUCCUUUUAUAAGAUCCAAAUUUUAAUUAAUAUUUUAUUCUCAUAUCAAUGUUUUAAAGUAGAAAAAUAUUUUUUAUUUCUCCAACUCAUCAACUUGAAUUUUAUAAUACACUAUCUGCUAUUUUAUAUAGAAAUAUUGUUAAACUAUAAAAUGACAGGAAUUGAUUUGAUGAUGAUUUGGUCUAAAAAUAACUGAACAUUCAAUAACUAAAAAAUGAGCAUUAAAACCAGAACUGACCGCUGAUGGUAAUCAGAGAUACAAACUGACCCAUCUGAGACGGAUUAAGCAUCCAAAAUUCGAAGAGCUUCCAGCCCCAAUCGCUUGCAGCAUAUAUGAAUAGACCAUUCCACUGUGCUUGAACUCGAGAACUGGUUUACAACACACAUUGUUUUCUUGUUCAACAAUUGCCCCCGAAACAUUGUAGAAUCUCAUUCAGAUAUUAAAAUGCCAAAUUUUACAAUCGAUGGAAUUACAAUAAUACGAAAGAUAGUUAAAGUUGUGUAACAAGAUCAUUCCAGAAUUAAGAAGCCACUAAUUUUUGCAUCUUUUACAACAUAUCAUGGUUCAAAGCCAUCACUCCGGACCAAUUAUUUCAAUCUGUUCUGUACAUGUAUGAGACCAUUGAAAAUAAAAGGAACAUAAAACGGACUAAAAUGUAAACAUUUUAUUUUAAUUGACAAAUGCUCUACCGAAUCAGAGAUAAAUAAAACACUACUUACCACUUACUUACUAGUUACUAGCUAAGUGCUAAGCUCUAUGAGUAUGAAGCAAAUUACGAGGCAAAUUUUGGUGUGAUGAAGUGAACAUGAAGAGGAGAACUCCAAUCACUCACUACAAAAAGGAACCGAAGAACAAACUAAAAGGCGUGCGUGAUCAAACUCCUCCUCCUCCACCGGACCGUAACUCCUCCAUCGCAGCCUUGAUCUGAUCCUGCACCAGCUCCAACCGCUUCGAAUACACUUCUAAUUCCAAUAUCUGUUGCUUCCUCCAUUUUUCAUCCACCAAUUCUCCACCACCAUAACUCAAAUUCAUCAAAGGAAUGGGGUUUAAAUUCAAGGAAACUCCUCUCCCACCAAACGCUCCCCCUCCCAUCGCUCCCACCAACUCCCUCACCACCGGCGACAGACAACUCCUCACCGUCUCCUCAAUCAAACUCGGUAUGUUAUUGCUAUAACCACUGUUAUAAUUGUUAUUAGUAGUAGCAGUAGUAGCGGUAGUGUUAGUAGCCGUAGCCGUAGCAGUAGGAGUAGCCGUAGUCGUAGCAUUGCUAGUACAAUUAAGAUCUCUGUUCGACGCGGAUCCAUCGUUUGGCUCGACUUUCACCGCCGAUCGAGGCCGGGAGCGCUUCGGUGUUUUCUUCUCCGUGGAAUUCCUGGAAGUCGUUUCGUUCUUGAGAAUUACGGGGCUAAAAUUAAGGUUAGGGUGGGGGAUGAUAGGGUUAGGGUUGGGGCAAGGGUUGAUUUCGUCGUCGUCCAAGGAAUUUUCGCCGACUGGAGCCACGCUGCUCCAGAUCUUGCGAGAGAUUUCGAAGGUGGCUUGAUCGUGUGCGCUCUUGAAGGAGAAUUCCUUGCCGGAGCCAAUCUUGUUGAGGACGUUUCGGUACUUCUUCUUCAGCCUUCGGAUCUUCUCCACCAGCUGGUUCUUGUUGAAAUCGAGUUGGAGUUUUGACUUGAUUUGGUCAUAGAACAGAGCGGUGUCGUUGUGGUGAGAGGAUCCUCUCUGAGAGGUGUAGUCCAGGAACCCUUGAAGGAGCUCGAUCUCGUCCUCGUCGGUCCACAGGCGCUGGAACAGCCGCCGCGAGUCGUCCAGCGGCGGCGGAGGCUUCUUUUCCUCGAUUGGCUCCAGGCGCCGCCGCUUCGGAUCGGAGGAGUCACCGAUGACGAUGGUGGUGGCGGUGGGCGUGGAUAGUGGCGUGCCUCCACCGUUUGAGAUGGCGGAACCGGGGACGGCGACGGUGACGGCGAGAGCGGUGGAGGGAGAGGACUCGUUUUCUUCAUCGUCGGCUGCCAAAACGUCGUCCUCUUCUUCGAACUCUUCGUCCUCCUGGGACUCGUCGUCGUCGUCCAUGUCUUCUUCGCGGAAAACGGCAUCGUGUUGUUGAGAUGCCAUUGAUAGAAAGGAGAGAGAGAGUGAGAGGUUUGGUCAGUGGUUAGGCCAAGAAGAGUGGGCUGAGUCACGGGUUUUGGUUUCUUGUUGAACUCACUUGCUCACGCAUUCACCCAUGGUUUGGUUUGGUUUGGUGAUGGUAAAAGGAAUCCGAAGGGUGGUUUUGGUUUUUAGUUUAGUUUAGGUAGCCUAGUGGACCAAGUGACCAACCAAACCUCCUGCAUCAUUUUUCUAUUCCCUAUUUUCAUUUUACAAGGAAUGUACUUUCUUCUUUUUUCCACAAACGCAACCCGAUUCAUUCCUUUUUCUAUUAUUCAUUUCGUUUAAAUAAUUACAAAACCUUGACAAUACUCCAUACUUAUUAUUUUAAUUUAAGAACUUAAUAUUUAUAUAACAUUUUAUUAUAUAAUAUUUUAUCAUUUCUAAUAUUAAUGGAAUGAGAGUAAGUAUGGAAGUAAAAAAUUAAUUUGAAAUAAAUAACUAGUUAAGAAGAACAAAAUAUGCAUUGCAAAUGUUCAGAAAACGAGAAAUAUGUUGGUUCUAACAAUGAGACCGUAUAUUCAAUAAAAUAGUCUUUUUAACAUUUCCCAGACUUUUAGGAAGAAAAGGUUUCUUUUGAAUGAAAACAAAAUAAAUAACUUAGUUAUAUAUAGACAGUAUUCUAAUUAAGAAAAUUAUUGACAAAAAUUUCACUGAUACUUGUUUUAUUACUUUUUGAAAGAUGAAUGUGCGCACUACAGAGAGAGAUCCUAAGCAUUACGAUACAACAAUUAUCUUGUUAAACCUAAUUAUAACUUCCAAUAAGUUUAUUUGUAUAAAAUGUUUAAUUAAAAGCUAAUCCUAUCUUAAAUUUAUGAAUGACGUUUUUUUUUUAAAUAUUACUUUUAUGUUCAUAAAAAUUUAUCAUGAGACGGCAUGGUAUAAUGUGUUUCUUUAAUCAAUAACCUUGUAGUUGAAACCUCAAUUACUAACCAAACAUGUUACAUUUGUAUUCCUACUACUGUUUUGUUUUCAUGUUUUCAUUUCAUCAUACUGUUUUGUUUUCAUGUUUUCAUUUCAUCAUACGGAAACAAAUUUGUGCAUCGUGAGGGCACAUUAUAGAAUCAUAAAUAUUUCAUUUUAGUUGUAUAUUAUAUUUUAAAAAUAUACACAUACAGAUAGUUGAAUGACCUUAUAUAACAGUAAAAAAUGAAACUUGUAUUUAUCUUAAACACGUUUUUUUUCAUUCUAAACUAUUCCAUGACAGAUUAAAAGAAACAUUUAACACUCAACAAUCUUGUUUUUUUUUCAUUCUAAACUAUUCCAUGACAGAUUAAAAAGAAACAUUUAACAAUCAACAAUCUUGGACGUUCAUAAAUUAUAAAUAAAAUUUAAUCGAAUUUGGUUUAAAAUAUUAUGAAAAUGAAUUAUACUGAGCAUGUAAUACAAUAGUCUUUACAAUAAUUUUUAUUUUGGCAGAUAAAAAUCCAAUAUAAUUGGACCGAAUCGCUCAACGAUAAAAUUUAUCCAAUAAAGUUGGUUGUCACAAAUAAGCUGACGACUACUUUAACAAGUUAUGAAGGAGCUAUUUCUUGUAUACAUCUAGCUAAAUAGGUUUGGUCCUAGUAACACCAUUCCUAUCUUCCAUAAAUUCGUAAAUAUAUAUUUUUUCUUAUUACUGUUUUACUAUUUCAAAUAUAAGAUCUAUUCCUGCUAAUAUAUCACACAAUGAUUUUCUUAUAUAACAUGUAGACUAUUCCUGCAAAAAUUAGUUCCAUUAACAUCUUUCAGUUCGUACAAAAAACUUGGAGUAUAUUCGAUACGAAUAAAUAUCAUUCAAACAAAAAUAAAAAAUAACAAAUUGCAGAAAAAGAACCAUAAAAAAAAUACGUUUCAAUUCGAUCUAAACUAAAGCUGCGAGGGCAGGAAACCAGAAAGAAUAAAGAGAAAAAUGGAACAUUAGGAGGUCUUCACUCUAAUUUUUUUCUUUUGCUCUUGAACACAGUAUACAACUGUCUGUACCUAAACACAUGAAAUUCAGCUGUGUCUGGUACCUAAACACAACUGUCAGUGUUAGUGUUGUUUUCUAUUUUCCUCAUACACACUUUCGGUUAAGCCAGGCUGAAUCGAAAAGGUAUACCCAGAAUUGAUAAAUAAAACACUUACCCAGUUGAACUUAAAUGGUAUUCUGUAAGAUAAAAAUACUAAACCAAUACAGCAAGAUUCGUUUUACGCAAAAUAAUGAUCACUACAUCAAAAUUUACCAAAUAUUUGAAAGCAAAGUUAAACACGAGCUCUCAAAAUUGUUCAAUGCUAGUACUCAACAUCUGAAGUUAUAAGCAAACAUCAAAUAAAAUUAAGGAUCAACACUUGUGCCAAAACAUCUCAUUCUAUAAUUCUAGCAUAAGAUAAAAUAACACUACAAAGCACCGAAACCAAUAUAACCUUAGAAUCGAAAUAAAAUUUCUCAUAUCUUAUUUCUUCUUUCCAGCCUUAGCAGCAUCAGAAGCCUUCGUCUGCACAAAAUAAAACAUGCGGUAUUUUAUAAUUUAAUCAAGCAAAUCAUGAUAUUUAAUAAUUUAUUUUAUAAUUUAAUACAAAAUUACCUUCUUUACUCCACGAAUCUUCUUUGCUCUGUUUUUCCUCUCUUUCAUUUGUUUCCUUGACUUUUCUACCUUUGUGUCAAGACCAUUCUGUAAUAGAUAAAAAUUAGUAUGCUAGCACAAAAUGUUAAAGCUGCUGCUAGACAUGUACAUUACAAAAUUCACUCAGCGAAGAAAACAAAAAAACAGAUGACAAUAUAUUCAAUGCCGCUAACACUAAGUCGCAAAAUGAAACAUAAUAAAAUCAAUUCAUUGUAAAAAAGAACAGGAUGGCAACAGUAACCAUUACCAACCUAAAUAAAUCUAAUGAUUUCUUAAGAAAAUUAUGACCAAUCUUUAUGCUCCUAAGAAACUAGUUUAAAUCCUUAUUUCUAAAACACUGGCAACAGUCUUGAAACAAUGAAAUGAAUUACAGUGUUACAACUGUAUUUGCAGUAAAAAUGCCUCACAGGAGGAAAAAUUACUGGAACAGAUGAUAGCAAUAACGUAAGGAAAAAUAAUAGUAACAGUGAUAUUGCAUUAACAAAAUGAGAUCACAAAAUAAAUUUCAGGCUAAAUCAAUUCAGGUAUGAUUAUUGAUUGCUGACUCACCCUGAUAAGCCUGUAUUUGGGCUCGUACUUCUUGGCAUUAUCGACUGAAUCAUAAAUCAAACCAAAACCAGUAGAUUUGCCACCACCAAAAUGUGUUCGGAAUUUGAAGACGAAUACAGUGUUAGCGUCUUUGACGUCGUACAUUCUAGCAAGCUUCUCCUUGAGUUCAGCCUAUUAUUCAACAACCGAAACAAAACAAAUUAAUUCAAAAAUCAUAGUGUAAUUGUCAAUGAAUAACAUCUCAAAAACUGACACAGUUGAUAGCAAGGGAUAUUGAGAGUUUCCGAAUUGCCUAAAAAGUUAUUUAAAAAAAUACCUAAAAACUAGAAUGAAAGUACCUUGGAAACAUUUGCCCUCCCUGGAUGAAGUACGUCAACAACCUGCAACACAAACAUGUAUAUAUAGAAGAAAGGAUUAGGGGUGCCAGCGCUAAGAAUCACUACCUCUUUAAUCAGGAAAACAACUUCUACAUUCCAUAAACUAGAAGACAACUAACUAAGAAACAUGAACCAUCUACUAGCCAACAAUCAUACAAAUGUGAAAAUCACGCCACUCGUUACAUGGACUAAGAUCAAACGUGCUAUAACAAUAGGCAAUUAAACAAAAUCGUUUCGUCAAGACACACGACUGAAUUAAAUAUACACGAUUCUCACAAAAGCACAUCCGAUCAGUCAGAAUCAUACGGCUAAUGGAUUACAAUUAUUACAGAUAUGUGAGCAGCAACAAAAAUCAGAAACAAAAAAUAAAUAAGACUCGGAAAAGCAGUUUAAACAAUCAUUUGCAUUUGCAGAUUCGCAUCGAAAAAAAAAAAAGUACAGGAAAACUCACAAACUGCUUCCUGGAAAGAAGCCUGUUAGUCAUGAACUUGCGAGUUCGAAUUGUAACAGCCUUGUCCGCCAUACUGUUGGAUGAGGUUUGGCACUGAAGAACUUCACACAGAUGCGGUUACAGCAGCUCCACAACACGCACACUAAGAAAUACUGAACGAAACCCUAACCCUUUUUAUAAACACUAGGGUUUAGAUAGCAAACGGGCUGGGCUAAACUUUGAGCGCGUAAGUAAUAUGGGCUUUUUUGGUUCUUAAAACAUUUUCUGCACCAUCUGACGUAACCAACUAUUUCUGCACUCCAAGAUUUCAAUAUAUGAUGCAAUGUCCAUUUUACCCUUAAUAAAAAAAUAAUAUAAGCAAAUUUUUGCUUAAAGUUUCUUUUUCCUUAAUAGCGCAUUUUCUAUCAUAAUCUUUAUCUCCAAUGUGAAAUCGUGAAAAGUAAUAUCUCUUCACCGUUUAUUUAAUAUAACAGCUAGUGUAAUACAAAAUUGCCUAACAGAUUAUAGAAUUUGUAAUGUAAUUUUUUUUCUUAAAUUUUAUCUUUAUAUUAUUGGUUGUAGAAUCUGAAAUAUAAAUUUUGUACUUUAAAUUGUAUGUUUGAAAAUGUAUUUUUAUUGUGUAUAUUAUGUAUUGUGUAUUUCAAAUUGUACAUUUUUAUAACAUAAAUUUUAUAUUUGGGAUUAUGCAUUAUAAAAUUUACUUUUUAUUUUUUAUUUUGGAAUAUAUAAUUUGAAAGAAAUUUUUAUUUCAUAAUAUAUCACGACUUCCAAAACUCAAAAGCUGAUAUAUUUUUGUUUUCAAAGUGAAAAGAAGGUGAAAUAAGAAAUUAUGGAGAUCCCCUACUCUUUUCCUUCUUUCUCAAAAUGAUAUUUUAGAUUAUGCAUUUACUAUUUUAUAUAUUGAAAUGUGAAUUCAUGGACAGAUAUAUUUUGGAUUGCAAAAGCAUAUUUUGAAAUACAAAUAUAUUUCAAAUUACACAUUUUAGAAUACAAAUAUUGUAUAGCAAGAAAAUUUAUAACGGGAAAGUAAUUUUUGUAUUUUAAAUUAUGUAUUUUCAAAACAUUUAAUCCAAAAUAUAGUGAUAAAAUUAAACUUUUCAUAUACAUGAAAGUGCCGGAAGAAUUUGUGGGCAUGAUAAGCUAUACAACUUUUAUUGCCACAAUUGUAUAUGGUUAAAUAUAUUUUAAUCAUUAAAUUAAAUUUAUAUGUGAAAUUAAAAUUUGUUCAUACGUUUUAGUUUUUAAUAUUAAAAAAAUAAAUAUAAUUUUCUUAUUCUAACUAUGUUAUAAAAAAAUUACAUGUCAAACGUGUUGUAAAACAAUAUUUAAAUAUCAUUUUAAUAUGUUUUAAUUCAAAUGUCAACUUAGAAUAUUCAAUAAUAAAUUUAAAAAAUUUCAACGUCAUUCACCUAAAAUAAUUAAAUAUACUUAUUUUCAAAAGUUUGAGAAAAAAAAUUAAAGUUUAAUAGAUUGACGAAUUUCAAUUUCGCAUUUAUUUUAAAAAUUAAAAAUAAAUUUAGGAUCUAAAAAUUUGCUUUUUAUAAUUGAUAAUAGUUUAAAUAUAGUAAAAUUCAAUUAUUUUAAUAUUAAAGAAAUUUAUAUAAAUAGAAAAUUUUAUAAAUAAGAUUAUUUUAAAAUAGAACAAUUAUCUAAACAUUAUUUUUUUAAGCUAUUUGACUUCUCUUUAAGAGUUCUCACCAUUCAUUUGUCUAAUUGAAGAUCUGAGAUCGUUGAAGCGAUCUUGUGACGAGCUAUUCAAUCUGGACUGAUCGUUUUCUUCGAUCGAGUGAGUCGUUGUUUUCCCUUUUUGGUAUAACCAUUUAGUUUUCAUCUUACAUGCGAG